rnacentral:rRNA from 1 species
AGUUGGAUGUGAAAUUCCUAUGGCUCANCCAUAGAACUGCAUCCAAAACUACUUAGCUAGAGUCUGGGAGGGGAAGAUGGAAUUAGUGGUGUAGGGGUAAAAUCCGUAGAGAUCACUAGGAAUACCAAAAGCGAAGGCGAUCUUCUGGAACAGUACUGACGCUGAGGCGCGAAAGCGUGGGGAGCAAACAGGAUUAGAUACCCUGGUAGUCCACGCCCUAAACGAUGAAUGUUAGUCGUCGGAGAGCUCGUCUCUUCGGUGAUGCAGCUAACGCAUUAAACAUUCCGCCUGGGGAGUACGGUCGCAAGAUUAAAACUCAAAGGAAUAGACGGGGACCCGCACAAGUGGUGGAGCAUGUGGUUUAAUUCGAAGAUACGCGAAGAACCUUACCUGGCCUUGACAUUGAUAGAAUCUGCUAGAGAUAGCGGAGUGCCCUUCGGGGAGCUUGAAAACAGGUGCUGCACGGCUGUCGUCAGCUCGUGUCGUGAGAUGUUGGGUUAAGUCCCGCAACGAGCGCAACCCUCGUCACUAGUUACUAACGGUUCGGCCGAGGACUCUAGUGAGACUGCCUUCGUAAGGAGGAGGAAGGUGAGGACGACGUCAAGUCAUCAUGGCCCUUACGGCCAGGGCGACACACGUGCUACAAUGGGAUGUACAAUGAGACGCAAUACCGCGAGGUGGAGCAAAUCUAUAAAACAUCUCUCAGUUCGGAUUGUAGUCUGCAACUCGACUACAUGAAGCUGGAAUCACUAGUAAUCGUAGAUCAGCCAUGCUACAAUGAAUACGUUCCCGGGUCUUGUACUCACCGCCCGUCACACCAUGGGAGUUGAUUUCACCCGAACCGGGAAANNUAAACUGGCUACCCUCCACGGUGGAAUCANCCACAGAGGUGAAGUCGUAACAAGGUAACC